CCUACGGGCGGCUGCAGUGGGGAAUAUUGGACAAUGGGCGAAAGCCUGAUCCAGCCAUGCCGCGUGUGUGAAGAAGACCUUCGGGUUGUAAAGCACUUUCAGUGGGGAAGAAAGCCUUGGGGCUAAUACCCUCGAGGAAGGACAUCACCCACAGAAGAAGCACCGGCUAACUCCGUGCCAGCAGCCGCGGUAAUACGGAGGGUGCGAGCGUUAAUCGGAAUUACUGGGCGUAAAGCGCGCGUAGGCGGUCUGAUAAGCCGGUUGUGAAAGCCCCGGGCUCAACCUGGGAACGGCAUCCGGAACUGUCAGGCUAGAGUGCAGGAGAGGAAGGUAGAAUUCCCGGUGUAGCGGUGAAAUGCGUAGAGAUCGGGAGGAAUACCAGUGGCGAAGGCGGCCUUCUGGACUGACACUGACGCUGAGGUGCGAAAGCGUGGGUAGCAAACAGGAUUAGAUACCCGAGUAGUC
rnacentral:rRNA from 1 species